GCCUUGUAUUAGUGUAAUUUGAAACUAUCACACGUUUUGAGGACGUGACAAGGCAU
rnacentral:sRNA from 26 species